AUUUCAUUUGGGGCCGACUAUGCUUUUAAGGACAUGGGGGUUUAAGCAUAAUGAUGAUUUGACUUGGGAGGAUAUACAUUUUUUUUUUUUUAAGAUGGAAAAAAUGAUUAGCAGUACCCUGGCCAAUUUCCUGCAUCUUUCAGAGGACAGUAAAACACGAGGUAAAGUUUAUAACCUACCACGACAGUAAGGAAGUAAUGUGUUAUGUUCGAUUGAAACAGUAUUGGCUGCAAUAUGGUCUUGGGGAAAAAAGACAUGUUUGUCAUGAAGUUAUUUAGCCUUAUAUUGGGACAUCAAGCAUUGAUAUGUAGAGUUCCCUGCCUUUUUAAGAUUCAUCUUCAUACCUCUCUAAUAAUGUUCAAGAUUGUCACUGAAGCACGUCUGGCAGUCCUGCACUUUCUCUGUCAAGCCCCCAUCACUACACCCGCACUUUCUUUCAUUCAAACACAUCUCACUCCCAUCCUUUAUUCACAUUUCUACUUGUUUUUAUGAGCUCUUUGAUAUUGUUUGCGUAUUUAAACUCGGUUUCAUUGUGUUCUCCUGUUUUUAAUUCUCGUUAUUACAACUAAGAUUAUUGUUGUUGCUCUUGAUGUUGUCCUUGAUGUUACGAUUGCGAAGCUUCUACCAAAUGAAAAUAAUAAUAAUAAUAAUAAAAAAUUAAAAAAUACAGUCGAAACAUUGAUGCAUUGUAUGUUUGGUCCAUGACAUUUCUCCAUAGCGGACCUCUUGUAAUAAUAUUCCAUGAGGAGGUUGAGCGGACUUCGUAACGAUUGAUAUCAUUGCUAUCUAACGGACAUCUCGCUUGUAUCUAGAUUCGGGGCUUGCCAACAAAUAACCUGUAUGCAGUGGAUCACAUGUAACCAUGAAAUUGAAAACAUAUGAAUGCAUAUAUUCAAAUCAGCAAAUGAAAUUCCUUCCGCAGUGUUUCUUUAUGACCUUUGGCUCCUACAAAUGCAAAGCCUUGUAAUGUAAUCGCCUUAAAUGGAAAUAUACAACUGUAAAGGGUUAAUCAGCAGAUGUGAACUCUGUAUAUCCCUAUAGCUAGGCCUCAACUCUGAGAUAUCACGAGUUGAAAUGUUAAUUUAUUUGCCUCAGUCCCCAGUACAGUUCUGAAAUGUCCUUAAUUUCAGUGCUUGGUAUUAUUUGGGAGAGUUGUCAAAUCAAGCACUUUCUGUCCAUUUUUUGAUUUCUGUCUUUUCAUUUUUUUUCUUGCGUUUUGUUUGUUUCCUGCUAAGCGUUACUGUGUACGUUGUGAUUCCAGACAGUCAGUGACAUUGUUGUGAUCAACAUUCGGCACACCGAACGGAACAUGUUAAUAAUGCAUCUUUCUCUCUUUUGUUUUGUUUUGUUUGUAAUAAAAUAAAAAUUCAAAUGAACAA